GACGAACGCUGGCGGCGUGCCUAAUACAUGCAAGUCGAGCGAAGUUUUUCUGGUGCUUGCACUAGAAAAACUUAGCGGCGAACGGGUGAGUAACACGUAAAGAACCUGCCUCAUAGACGGGGACAACUAUUGGAAACGAUAGCUAAUACCGGAUAACAGCAUAAAUCGCAUGAUAUAUGUUUAAAAGUUGGUUUCGGCUAACACUAUGAGAUGGCUUUGCGGUGCAUUAGCUAGUUGGUGGGGUAAAGGCCUACCAAGGCGACGAUGCAUAGCCGACCUGAGAGGGUGAUCGGCCACACUGGGACUGAGACACGGCCCAGACUCCUACGGGAGGCAGCAGUAGGGAAUCUUCCGCAAUGGGCGAAAGCCUGACGGAGCAACGCCGCGUGAGUGAAGAAGGAUUUCGGUUCGUAAAGCUCUGUUGUUAGGGAAGAAUGAUUGUAUAGUAACUAUAUACAGUAGAGACGGUACCUAACCAGAAAGCCACGGCUAACUACGUGCCAGCAGCCGCGGUAAUACGUAGGUGGCAAGCGUUGUCCGGAAUUAUUGGGCGUAAAGCGCGCGCAGGUGGUUUAAUAAGUCUGAUGUGAAAGCCCACGGCUCAACCGUGGAGGGUCAUUGGAAACUGUUAAACUUGAGUGCAGGAGAGAAAAGUGGAAUUCCUAGUGUAGCGGUGAAAUGCGUAGAGAUUAGGAGGAACACCAGUGGCGAAGGCGGCUUUUUGGCCUGUAACUGACACUGAGGCGCGAAAGCGCGGGGAGCAAACAGG
rnacentral:rRNA from 1 species